rnacentral:piRNA from 1 species
UACCCAGUUGUUUAGGUUUUGGAGGUGU